UGGGGAAUUUUGCACAAUGGGGGAAACCCUGAUGCAGCGACGCCGCGUGAUUUAGAAGGUCUUCGGGUUGUAAAAAUCUUUUCUAUGGGAAGAAAAUGACAGUACCAUAGGAAUAAGGACCGGCUAAUUACGUGCCAGCAGCCGCGGUAAUACGUAAGGUCCGAGCGUGGUCCGGAAUCAUUGGGUGUAAAGGGUACGUAGGCGGGUAAGCAAGUUAGAAGUGAAAUACUAUAGCUCAAUUAUAGUAAGCUUUUAAAACUGCUCAUCUUGAUGUAUGGAAGGGAAAGUGGAAUUCCUAGUGUAGCGGUGAAAGGCGUAGAUAUUUGGAGGAAUGCCGGUGGAGAAGGCGACUUUCUGGCCAUAACCUGACGCUGAGGGACGAAAGCGUGGGUAGCAAACAGG
rnacentral:rRNA from 1 species